ensembl:lncRNA
AUGCGAACAAUACCUAGCCCAUAUGCUAGGUGCCUUCUUAAUCUCAGCACCUAUCGGGGGCAGGCGUUGCAUUUAAUCACUGGCAUGGCUCAUUGGUCGCGCCCUCGGUACCGGCUGCGCCUUCUCAUCCCUUCUGUGGCCUGGGCCCGGUCUACUGCCUCCAGCCCGCACCGCCUUCUAGCCGGCGUGACCAAUCGACGUGAGGCUUGUAGGCCGGCGCCUUCCUAUUGGCUGCCUCCCUGGCCCCGCCCAACUCCCCGGGGCCCGCUUCCGGCGGGGAGGAGGUGGCUUCCGGCCGAGGCGGCGCGGUUGCUGCAGAGCCGCUCUGGACGCAGGACCGCGUGUGUAUCCGUGGGGGCGUGGCGGCAGGAAGGGCCAAGCGGCUGGCUCUUGCGGUCCCCGGGUGCCUGCCAGGGAGUUGGACUCUGCGGGCACGUGAGUUGGGAAGCAGAACGGCGGGAAGAAGCCGACCGGGCCGGCGGGAUCCGGCUCACGGCUGAAGGACCUCCUCCUCGCCACAGGCCCUGCAAGUUCAAGCCCCGUUUGUUCCAUCAGCUGUGUUAGACAGGAUGGUGGCCGAUCCUUGCCGUCACGGAGUUACCUUCAUAGCCUGAUGAUGGGCCCCAAACAAGUGGAUUGAAAGAACAAGGUAUGCAGCUUACUUGGGGGUGUGCCUCAGAAAAUCUUUUUGAAAAAAUUAAAUUUCAACCAACUUGAAAUACAUCCUCCCCCACAAGCCAUUUUCCUCCAGGUGCUAUCCCUUUCCAGUGAGUCAUUUUAUCCUGGCAUCAACAUCUUUGUCUGCACAUCACAACCUGGCCUACUCUGGCCAUGGCCCCUUCUUAAGACCUGCUGUUCUCUUCUGUUCAAGGCUGAGAGUCACGCUACCAUUCCCCAAAGGGCACCCCUGUUUGAGUCCCUGUCUAAGCAAUCCUGUGCAAAGACCUGGGGUGGGCUUUUACCAUUGGAGAUCUGGACACUGGCCUGAAUGCCAAACCUAGUGUAGGUGUCCUGCAGGUAAGACCAUCUCUUUCUCCUGGAAGCUGGGGAAGUGGGUGUAGUCUGGGAGGACAAGUCUCUGGCUGCAGGAGGACAUGCAAUCUAUUUUAUGGAUGACCACCUCAGUACCAAAGGCAGUGCAGUCUCUGCAAGCCUUCAGCAUAGUCUUCAGGGCUUCCCGAGGUGCUCACAGGAGCUCCGGCACAUUUUACCUUUGUUCUUUUCUAGCUCCUGCCCACCUGCCCUGCCAAUGCUGUCUCCCCAACCCCCAGCCAAGCUCGUGUGGCUUCCAGGUGUCUAGAGACCUGACGCCCACUGCAGUGGCUGAUUCCAGAAAGGCCACGGCUGUGCAACAGGAAUACCGUGCUACAACUGCCUCCCCGCCGCCUCCUUCUCCUCCUUCUGAGAACGUGUGUGUGUGUGGGCGCCGCAUCCGACACAGAGAGGUGGGUGAGACAGGAUCCUUGCUUUCAUCAGGCAGGCGUGACUCAGUCUUAGCCUCUAGCUCUACACACGCUCACCGUCUGCACUCCCUCUGCCCCCGUUCUCUCUGGAACAGCUCACAUGCUUCACUACCAUCCUUGCACUGACACAACCUGUAGUGAGUGGGUUGAAUGGUGCCCUGCAAAAGAUGCCUCCACAUCCCAACCCCAGAAACCUAUGAAUGUUAACUAAUCUGGGGGUAAAAAGGUGUUUGCAGAUAUAAUUAAGAAUCUUGAGAUUGUCCUGGAUUAUUGGGUGAUCUCUGAAUCCAAUGGUGAGUGUCCCGAGAGACACAAGCAGAAGAAAGGGCCUUGUUGGGACUUCCCUGGGGGUCCAGUGGCUACGAAUCCCCCUGCCAACGCAGGGGACACAGGUUCCAUCCCUGGUCUGGGAGGAUCUCACGUGCCUCAGGGCAACUAAGCCUGCACACCACAACUACUGAGCCUGAGUACCCUAGAGCCCGCGUUCUGUAACUAAAGAGGAGCCCCUGCUCACCCCAACUAGAGAAAGCUGGUGCACAGAAACGAAGGCCCAGCGCAGCCAAAAAUAAAUUUUAAAAAAAAGAAAGAAAGAAUAGACAGCCUUGUGAAGGAGGAGGAGAAUGGAGCUCUACAGCCACAAACCAAGUGACAUCUGGAGCCUCCAGGUGCUGAAGGAGGCAGAAUGAGACCCCCUAGAGCCUCGGCAGGAGCCUGGCCCUGCUGGCACCUUGGUCUUGGACAUCUGGCCUCCAGAAUGGUGAAGAUAAAUUCCCGUUGUUUUAAGACACCAGCUGGUAGAGAUCUGUCACGGUGGCCCCAGGGAGCUAAUAUGCUACCCUUCGACAAACCCUGUGUCCCAAUCCACGCCCUGCCCUGAGCCACUCGAUGGCAGCACAUGGGGGUGAGUGCCCCACCCUUCAGACACUCCUUUCACUCUGCUUCCCGACUCCACAGAACACUUUCACAAUCUUUCACGCUGGAUCCCUCAUUUCCUCAUCCUGACUUCUAAAUGUUGGAGGCCCCCAGCUCAGCUUUCAUGCAUCCCCUCGGUGAGAGACUUCCCUGGUGUUGCAGUAGCUAAGACUCUACUCCCAAUGCAGGAGGCCAGGGCUUGAUGCUUGGUUGUGGAAUUAGGUCCCACAUGCCGCAACAAAGAUCCAGUACAGCCAAAUAAAUAGUGUAAAUAAUUUUUUUUAAAUGCCCUUGGUAAAAGCACCCAGUUCCUGACUCUAAACCAUCUGCGUGAUGACUCUUCCAAACUUACCUCGGCAGGAGCUUGGCACACAGUAGGGGCUCAAAAACUACUUGGAGGGGUUCCCUGGUGGCUUAGUGGUUAGGGUUCUGGGCUUUCACUACCAUUGCUCAGGUUCAGUCCCUGCCCAGGGAACUAAGACUGCAAGACUGUAUACAUUGCAGCCAAAUAAAGAAAAUCCAAAAAAUAAAGCUGAAAAAAAAGAAAAAUCCUUGAAGAGUGGGUCUUUUCACAUAAAUCGCCAUUUUUAUGUGUUUACCACAUUCACUUUGAAAGCACUUUUAGAUAUCCUGUCUUGCUCUUCUCUGACAAGCCCUUGGGCACCAGCCCUUCAGCGAUUUUGUGGUAGAACCCAGGUGGUGGGAUCGUCCACAUGUGGCCUGCUGACCCGGACCCCCUCUGGGAAGGUUCUGCUCCGCUGAUCAGGCUCUUCUAGGAUUUCUCUGCAGAAGGAACCAGUCAAGCAUGACUCCACCUUUGGAUCAUUAAGGCUUCUAAGAGGCUUUCUCUACAACACGGGUUGGCAAAGUAUGACCUGUGGGCCAUCUGGCUGGCUGCCUGUUUCUGUAGUUUUCCUGGAACGCAGCCACACUCAUCCGUGUACCGACCGUCUGGCGGCUUCCACGCUCCAACGGCAGAGCCCACAGGUCUAGCAUGCUCGCUUGCUGGCCCUUUACUGAGCUCACUGGCCUGCUCUGGGACAGGUGAGCCACAGUGGAGGCUUUCCACUCCUUGUUCUGUCUGUCCUUCCAUCUCCGACAUCAUUUCUUGGCUAGAGGAAGGUUCAACGUUCUUCCCCUUCCCUGCUCAUCACCCUUGUGGGAUUUGAACUCAUG